rnacentral:lncRNA from 1 species
CAUUCCAUUCCAUUCCAUUCUUUUCCUCUCAAAAUUUGCCAAGCUUAAGUAAUUCCUUCCGUCCCAAACCUCUUUCCUUUCUCUAUUAGACUGUCGAACCAUAUACCCCAAAAUUUUGGGUUCAAUUAUAUUUAUCAAAUUAACAAGGGGAUAAAGUUUAUAAAGCUGAAAUUAUCAAGAACUGGCAUCAAAGGCUAAUAACAGGGGUGUUGCAAUAAGUUCAUAUUAGAAAGCAAUCAAGAAGGUAAGUUAUGUGGUUAUUAUAUUUUCAGAAAUUAAGUAUGUAUAUAUAUGUGAAAAUGGAUAGUAUUGUUAUGUUAAUUGUUGAAAAGCUAUUGUGAUUGGGUUGUACUUGCUAAGGAGGAUUUAUGCAGGAAGAAUGGAGCUAUAAGGGAGGAAAAAAUAUGGAUUUAGACAUGUAUAUGAGUUCUGUCAAUAAAACUAGUGCACGUAUCAUGUUUGAAAAAUUGCCUCUUAGGGGCUGUCAUAUAUAAGAGGGAAAAUUGGACAAGGUUGUUAAUGGAGAAGUCUUUAUAUAUGUUAUAUAAAGUAAUUUAAGUGGUUUAGGUAAGCUAAAACAAGUUCAGAAGUAAAGUUUUAAGAAUUAAACAAGUUGGAUUUCGUUGUAAAUCUGUUGUAACAGCGCAACUUUGGACCCUUGUUAAGCUUGUCUAAAAUGUCUGUUUUGGUUAAUCAGUAUUUUUUAGAAAAUAGGUUGUUAUACCAACUAUAACAUAUUAAAAAUUUGUUGUAAUUAGAUGUAAUUAGCUCUGUGGUUUGGGAGAUAUAAAUUAAUAAAGUUGGAGUCUUGGAAAAGUGCAGCAGCAAGCUGCAACUGCAGGCGACAGCAGCCGCAGCUGCGCGCUGCUGGCCGUGCUGGGCUGCAGUAGUCAGCUGGGCAUUUGUUUGGCUAGUUGGUUUGUUUUGUAAUCUUGAUGCUAAAUUCAUGUAAAAUAGAAACAAAUCGAUAAAAUAUAUAAAAUAAUAUAUUAAUUAUAGUUAAUAUAAAUAAAUUCAAUAAUUGAAUUAAAUUUGAAGUAAAUUAGAAACUUUAAAUAUAUAUUUUAGAAACUAGUUGAGUAGUUAAUUAGAAACUUUUUUGUUGUAUGAGGUAGUAACGUAAAUAUAUAUUUUGGAUGUGAUGUAAUAUUUUUGAUAUGUAAUGUUAAAGGUUAGAUAACUUGUGAUACGUUAAUUUAUAUAUUAUAUUUUGUAAAGACUAUUGUAAUAAUACAAGUUAUCAAAUGUGAUUGGGUAGAAUAGCAGGUAAUGUAGAUGGUCGUGAACACUGAAUUGAGGGUAAAAGUUAUCCAAAUUUGGGGACGUUACAUCAUGCGUAUAUUGCAUUUUGGUACCUUUGAAAACAUUGGUUCAAUUGUUGAACUUUUGAUUUUUUUUAAAAAUAAAAAUUGAUGUUCAUACGUCUAUGCUAGUUUUUUCGGCUAAGAAAAAAAUGAUUUGAAAAUUUUAAAAUGUAUUUUUUUUAUCGUCAACACACCAUGUAAACAUGGUGUGAAUAUGAAAGAUGAUGGAAUUAUUAACAGACGGUAAAAUGGUAUGGAUAUGAUUAUAAAAUCAUCAACGAACUAUUACAUGAUGCAGUAUAUAUGAGAAAGUCAUAAAAAUGAUUUUUAGUGUUUUAAGUUGUGUAAAGAACAGUCGAUGUGCUAGACAUCUUUGCUAAGAAUUAUUGAAAUUUGAAAGUUGAUUGAAAUCUUCCAAUCCAAAUUGUUUUGGUGCAGAAUCUUGUGCUAAGUUUGAGGUGAACAACCCUGAUAAAAGGGAAAACUAAUAUCAGACGUUAUGAAUCCGAUUUACUGAUAUCAAACGAUAUGAUUCCGAUGUGUCUAGAUUAAUAUGUUGUGCACAAAAUAGUAGUACGAUAGGCUAAUCCCUUAGAGUACUAGCAGAGGUAGUUUAUUGUCUUUGUGACUGUAAACAGACCUAACAGAGGUAGUUUACUGUCUUUAUGAUUGUAAACAGGCCUAGCAGAGAAUGUUAUAGUCUUGAUGAUUGUGGGAUUACAGUGGGAAUACUUGUUCAAACUAGUUAGAAGUUCACGGUCUUUAUGACUUCUCAGACUAAUACAAAAAUUUUUAAAGAUUUUUUUUUUUACUUUCUAGUUAUUCAUAUUGUUUCACAAUUGUUGAAGAUUCUUGAAAGAUGUUCUGAUAUGCUGGAAAUUGAAUUAUAAUUAGAAGGUAUGAGCUUCUUAGAAAAAAAAAAAGAAUGUAAAGGUUAGUAUGAAAACUUAGUUAUGAUGAGUAGAUUGUGUAGAGAUGAGUAUGAUGUAAUUUCGAUGACAAAAUUCUUAGAAGGGGUGAAUGUGAUAUCCCAAAUAUUAGUCAUAUUUCUUUUAAAAAAAAUAUUAAAUGUUUAAAUAAAGGUUAGAUAUUAAAACCUAGUUUGUUAAAAGAGGAUAAUUUUUUUUAUUUAAUUUAUGUGCUAUAAAGAACCUAUAGGGUAUAUGAUAAUUGUGAAGAGAGGUUUUUAAGAUAAAAGGCUCUACCUAAGGAUGUUAUGGGACAUUAUAAAUAAAGAAGUUAUUUAUUAAUAAUGAAAAGAAAGUAGUAUGUGUGGAGUUAACUAAUUUUUAUGUGAUGUGGUAAAUAAAUAUAUUAUUAAAUGUAUACAUUUAUGUAUUUAGAAUAAAAAGGAAAUCCAAUAUAUAUUAGGUUAUGUAUGUGUUGAAGAUAUGUAUUAUAAUUAUGAAGUGAAAUAGGUAAUGCGAUUGAUAAAGUAAAUUAAUGACAAUACAGAUGGAACAACAAGGAAAGUCAUGUAUUUAGAUUUAUUUAAUUAACUACAUGCAUGAACUAGACUAAAGAUUUGAUUAAUUAAGUAAUAAGCUUAAUUAAUGUGUUUAAAGAAAUAAAAAUUAUUUAUUAUUUGAAAAGGACUCAAGUUAUUUAAUUAACCAAAAUGUAUUAUGUAACGAGAAUGGCGUUUAUGUGUGGCCUUUAAAUAGAAGACCAAAUGAAGUGGUUAAUAAAUUAAAUUAGGAUUAAUUACAUAUUAUAGUACAUUUUUAAAAAUAAUUACAAUAAUCAUACAUCCAUAAAAUAAUUACAAAAAUAUGACACUUCAUCAUAUUUAUUUACAAUACUAAUAUAAUUAGGAGUCCUUAAUUUAAGGGAUUAAUAUUAAUUGACUGACAUGGCAAAUUAGUGUCCAUCUUAAAAUCUAGUUGGUUUUUUUUGAAACGCGUGAUAACCGCCAUCUAUCAUUUGAUUGGGACUCUUCAGUUACAAACCCUUGUUCGGCAUAUUGAAACCAUUGUUUCUCUCUUCUGUUCGUGCGUUCUUCAUCUCUAUUGAUCGUUUUCGGUGAUUUAUUCUAUAUUUUCGUGAUCGUUACUCGUUAUCAUCUUCGUUUAGUUGUUCGUCAUCGUCGUUUAGUUGUUUGCUAUCUUCAUUUAGUUGUUUGUCAUCGUUGUUUACUCUUGUUAUCGCUAUUGCAAAGUGGUUCAGUUGGUUUCUUAUUCUGUAUUGUUCAAUUCUGGUGUUUAUUAUUGUUUCAGGUAAGUAAUUUUUAAAUAGUUUAAUGUAUUAUAUAUUUAAGUAGUUUUCUAACAUAAUGGAGUAUUGAUUGUUUGGGUUUAUUUUGUUUUUAUGUUUUGUAUAGAAUGGUUGAUCCAAGGAAGAAGGAUGGAAAGGGGAAAAGAAUCACGGAGGGUGAUUCUGUUAAGGACUUGAAGAAAUUUGUUUGGGUUUGUGCAGUUGGAUUCUGAUUUUGAUGUCCCUGUAGUUAAGACAUAAGCUCAAGUUUAUAGCCAGAAGAUAUUUCAAACCCAAAAUUUUUUAAAGGUGUGUUAAUUUAAAUUUGUUAUUGUUAUUAUCAUAUAACUGUUUGACUACUUCUGCAUUAUGUUUUGGUUACUGUUAGCUUGUGAUUCGGAUACCAUUUUUGUUACCUUGAUUUAGUAUUUUGGUUACUUUUUUAUGUUGUUAUGGUUACCAUGUAUUUGUUUAGUAUACAUGGUUGACUAAACUGAUUUUGGUGUACAUGUUUAUAUAUUGGUUACCAUUAAAACAUAUUUUGGUUACUAUCAUAUAAAUAUUUGGUUACUUCUUUAGUAUGUUUUUGGUUACUGUUAGUUUCUGAUUUGGAUUUCAUUUUUGUUUCCUUGAGUUGGGAUUUUGGUUACUAUUUUUUGUUGUUCUAGUUACCAUGUAUUUGCUUAGUAUAUAUGGGUUGACUAAACUGUGUUUGAUCUAUAUGUUGUUUAUGUAUUGGUUACCAUUAAUAUAUAUUUUGGUUACUAACAUAUAACUGUUUGGUUACUUCAUGAGUAUAUUUUUUGUUACUGUUAACUUAUGAUUUGGAUACCAUUCUUUUUUCCUCAAUUGAGUUUUUGGUUACUUUUAUAUGUUGUUUUGGUUAUAAUGUAUUUGCUUAGUAUAUAUUGGUUGACUAAACUGGGUUUGGUCUACAUGUUUUUUAUGUGUUGGUUACCAUUAAAACAUGGUUUGGUUACCAUCAUAUAACUGUUUGGUUACUUCUUUAGUAUAUUUUUUGGUAUACAUGUUUUUGUUUUGGUGACCUUUAAAUUAAAUUAUGUUUUGGUUAAUAUUAUAUAUAACUGUUUGUUUACUACAUAAAAUGGUUUGUACUACAUGUUNNNNNNNNNNNNNNNNNNNNNNNNNNNNNNNNNNNNNNNNNNNNNNNNNNNNNNNNNNNNNNNNNNNNNNNNNNNNNNNNNNNNNNNNNNNNNNNNNNNNAUGAUACAUAUGGUUAAUGGGUUCUCUAUUCACUAAUCCCAAGGUAUUUCUCUUCCUCCCACAGGUUCAUAAUGCAGAAGUCUUUUUUAGAGAAUGAGAGCAGCCAUGAAGAAGAAAGUAGCAUCAGCCAAAAAGCUAAAGUUUCAGGAAGAUUUGUACCAGAUUUUGAUUAGUUCGGUUGUCGUUGUCUUGUCCUUCUGAAUUGUGUUUCAUACUUUGAUUUUUGUUGGAUAUCCAUAACCAUUUGUUAUGGUUAGUAAGUAUGUAAUGUUUAUUGGAGUUUAUGUAAAUGAGAUUACGUAUUUGAUUAUAUUAUCAAUUAUUUGACAUUGUUUGUUGGUUCAUA